rnacentral:rRNA from 1 species
UGAAUAAUUAAAUAGCCGCAAUUGUGCUAAGGUAGUAUAAUAAUUUGUCUUUUAAAUAAAGACCAGAACAAAUGAUUUAACAUUUUAAUUAAUUUAUUUUCUUUCUUAUUCAAAAUUAUUCUAAAUGUAACAAAACAUUUAUUAAACAGAAAGACGAUAAGACCCUAUUGAACUUAACUCAAGUUAAACUGGGGUAGUUUAUUAAUUAUUAUUUUAGUAUAAUUAUAAGUAUAAUUAUCCAUUAUUAUUGAUAAUCAAGUUACCAUAGGGAUAACAGCACAAUUAUAUUUUAAAGCUCUUAUUUAAAAAAUAGAUUAUGACCUCGAUGUUGAAUUAAUAACCUUUUUCAAGAAAAAUUUAAAUAAGGUAGUCUGUUCRACUAUAAAAAAAUUACAUGAUUUGAGUUCARACCGGKGUAAGCCAGGUCGGUUUCAAUCUUCUUAAAUCUUUUAUACAGUACGAAAGGACCCAUAAAUAUUAUAUAUAUAUAUAUAUAUAUUGGCAGACUAAUGCAUUAGAAUUAGAAUCUAAUUAAUCUUAU